CAGAUAAUAGUUUAAACAAAAACUUUGGCAUUGGAAGCUAAAAAUCAAAAUUCCAUUUGUUAUCUGA
rnacentral:tRNA from 1 species